rnacentral:tRNA from 1 species
UCCCUGGUGGCUCAGAUGGUAAAGCGUCUGCUUGCAAUGCAGGAGACCUGGGUUCGACCCCUGGGUUGGGAA